AUACGGAGGGUGCAAGCGUUAUCCGGAAUCAUUGGGUUUAAAGGGUCCGCAGGCGGAUUAAUAAGUCAGUGGUGAAAUCCUCUCGCUCAACGAGAGAACUGCCAUUGAAACUGUUAGUCUUGAAUUCGGUCGAAGUAGGCGGAAUGUGUCAUGUAGCGGUGAAAUGCAUAGAUAUGACACAGAACACCGAUAGCGAAGGCAGCGUACUAGACCUGGAUUGACGCUCAUGGACGAAAGCGUGGGGAGCGAACAGGAUUAGAAACCCCAGUAGUCC
rnacentral:rRNA from 1 species